AGUGUGGCUUGACAAGAAGCCCUAGGUCCCUGCCCGGGAUCCGAACCUGCAAACCCUUGGCUGUCGAAGAGGAGUGUGGGAACUUCACCACUAUGCCACCGGGCUGACCCCUCAAGGGAUCCUUUUUUGACACUUGUUUUCUAUUUCUUUCCAAUCAGGUCAAUUAUUGGUAAGUGACUCUUGUCAUCACGUCAUGAUUGAGGCAGCGGGCUAUUUGUACAGAUCACUUGAUUUAAGGGUGACCUACCUGGUAUCUUCUCAUUCGUUGGUCCAUGGAAUCCUACAGUGAGUUUCUGUUCUAUGUCUUGAAAAGAAGCAUGCUUCUGGUUAUUCAUGGUAUAUAUAUGACCUCUUGAUAACUUUUGAUCUUUGCAGCCUUCUGAGAGAAACAGCACAUCCAGGGCAGGAGAUGUUGGCCUCAAGGCAUGAGCCAACAAUAUUCCGAGGGUUCUAGGAAUGGCGCCUCACAGUGUGAGCACUAGGUGAAAUUGACCUACCACAGCUCUCAGAGUUCUCGUGCAGUUCUGAUACAGCUCUGCAAUGUGCACGAACGAGGAUAAGCUUCAGAGGGCUAAAAUCAUGGUCUUGGCACCUCAAACAGUCUCAGAUAAAUCAAAAUGGGAUUCCGGAAAAGGGAAAAAGGUCUUGAGACCCAUGAUUUCCAUUUCUGCUGAGGAAAAGACUCGAUGGAAGACACAAAAUAAUGAUGAAAUAGGAAAUAGCCCAGAAAAAGAAGCAUCAAAGAAAGAUUAUUCCUCUAAGAUUUUAUCCUUGGGUAAAAUGGAUGGUGUAGUAAAGCUUUCACAGCAAAGGAUUUUGUCAGCUAAAAGCACGAGGGAAAAGGCCAAACCACUGUGAUUUACCAGCAUCCCCUGUAAGGGCCUCUUUGCACAAAUGAUCCCUGGGAAUCCGUAUCUGAACUCAUCUCAGAAAGAUGGCUUUUUCAUAGCCUCGAUUACAGUUCAGUUCCUCAGAAGUGUUUCUUUGCAGAGAAGAUCUCAGUUUGAAGCAAAAUUGUUGAAGACCUCAAACGAUACUAAUAAAGAAUAAAAAUGA